AAACUGAAUCCAAUUUAAUUAGACUUGAUCCAAAACUCUUUGUUUAACCAAAUUGAGUCAAUUAGCAAUCAAAUUGCUAAUAAAUCUUCCAUUAAUUGUAGAGUCCCAAUCCAGUGGGACUAUUCACUAGAGUCCCAAUCCAGUGAGACUCUUCAGCCAUUAGAUCAGAUUGAAUCUUCUAAUAUAUAUGACCCCAUAGGUUUGAACCUAAGCCAGUAGUAUAGGGAUAAAUUUUUAUACUAAUUGAUGUCAUCAUCUAGCAAUGGGAUCCAACGUCCGGAU
rnacentral:lncRNA from 1 species